AUUGAACGCUGGCGGCAUGCCUAAUACAUGCAAGUCGAACGGAUGUAGCAAUACAUUAGUGGCGCACGGGUGCCUAACGCGUGGGAACAUACCCUUGAGUAAGGAAUAAUGUCUGGAAACGGACACUAAUACCUUAUAAUGACUUCGGUCCAAAGAUUUAUCGCUCAAGGAUUGGCCCGCGUCUGAUUAGCUAGUUGGUGAGGUAACGGCUCACCAAGGCGACGAUCAGUAGCUGGUCUGAGAGGAUGAUCAGCCAAACUGGGACUGAGACACGGCCCAGACUCCUACGGGAGGCAGCAGUAAGGAAUAUUGGACAAUGGAGGAAACUCUGAUCCAGCCAUGCCGCGUGGGUGAUGAAGGCCUUAGGGUUGUAAAGCUCUUUCAAUGGUGAAGAUAAUGACGGUAGCCAUAGAAGAAGCCCCGGCUAAAUUCGUGCCAGCCGCCGCGGUAU
rnacentral:rRNA from 1 species